UCCACCGCUGGAAGCGCAAAUAAAAAGGCUCCCGCAUGUGCCCAAAUGCCCAGUACUAGCCAGCGGAUCGCAAGCGAGCUCCUCCACCCCAGACGCGGCCACCUCCUUUUUCCACCGGCACCGGGACGGCGCGGCAGCCCCCUUUUUCCUCUGGCACUGGGACGACGCGGCCGCCGCCUAUGCUGCUCCAUCCCACCGCAACGUCGUCGCUGGCCCUAGCCACGACUUCGUCGACGCAACGACCGGAUCGGCGGAUCCAGCCCGUAUGGUGCGGCGGCGGCGGCUGAAUCCAUGACGGCGACGACGUCCAGCGGUUCCCGCCGGCCCAAGCAGGUCCAUCUUCUCCUCCAACCCCUCUCAUGGGCUCCUCGCUGUCGCCUCGAUGGCUGGGGCCCCUCCGCAACCGCCGGCCACCGACAGCAGCCCCAGGGCCGAUGGUGACUUCCAGGCUGCGGCAUUGCUCAACACCGGCGACCUCGACGCCUAGCCCCAGCAAGCAUCUCUCUCUCUCUCUCUCUCCCCCCGUUCUUCUUUUAUGUUGUGCCAGUACGUACCACGGUGGCCAUCCAUUGUCCAGGCCCGUCUAUGCAUUGCAGAUUUUUGUGUAUGUGACUAUAAGGUGUUUGAUGAAAAAACAAGCAAGGUAGGAAAAGAUUUAUUUCUGUUUAUGCUCUUUUGUGUAAUCAAUAUUUCUUUUUCUUCUGCUGGGUGGUUGGGGGUUUGUUUUGGGAUGUUUCAUUGAAUUUGAAAAGACUUUUCAUGCUUACUUGGAGGCACCAAGGUCAACUAAUUCUGAUCCUAGCAUAAGUAUACUCAAAGGGAGUAUUAAUUAGGCACAGUCUGUUUAGAACAUUGCACUGUGUUUUUUGCUUUGCUAAUACUGAUGUGUAAGUCAAGAAUGUGCGAGUAUGUGGACCUUUCUCUUUUGAAUAAAGAGAUGUGUAAACAACAAACUGAUGCAUAAACGUACAAAUUUUGUUCACUAGAUACACUGCAUGUUCAACACAGAUGAUCAUCCUUGAUAUGACAAGGUCAACUAUUUUCCUAAUAAUUAGUGGUUAUUUCCUAUGAGGGAGCCUUUCUACAUCUCACAUAGCAGAUCUUCUUUGCAAUUCUCUUGCUCUCUCAUAAGAAGCUAUACUUGCAAGGGCCUCAAAGAAAAAAGUCUGUAUUCAACAGACAGUAUUGAAGCAUCAUUUUCGAAUAUAAAUUGGUUUUGUUUAUACUCUGGAGAUAUUACCUCUCUCAACUCUUAUCAUAUGGCAGAGACUGAAUGAUCCUAACGGCAAGAUGUCGACAUAGUAUCUAGGUCUCAGUAUACACACUAAAAAAGAGCAGUUGUUUCCCACUCAUCUUUUCAACAACCGUAAGUAUUUUCCAACUUUUUGAGUGACAUAGAAUUCUAUGUUAUGUUUGAUUCCUUGCAACCAACAAGAAGGAGUGGCUAACACUCUAUUGUUUGUUCUAUAUUUUCAUACUUGUUUUUCCUUCGGCUACCUCACACUAGAAAGGGGGAGAAGUGGGUAGCUAGCUUUUUUCAUACUUGCUUUUCCUUCGGCUACCUCACACUAGAAAGGGGGAGAAGUGGGUAGCUAGCUUUUUUCAAGUCCAGCAGAAUUUAUCAUUGAUCUAUGCAUGAUUAAACACUAAUUGCGGCAUUCAUUGUGUACUACUACAGUCUUAUUGUUGAGAUGGUUCUCUUACAUUGGUUGAACAAGCUGUGUAUUAUUGAGUAAUGCUGAAUGGAACUAUCUAUUUCUUUUGCCGAUGGUGGAGGAAUUACUGAUCUCAAGUUGUCUGCAAGCUUCAUGGACUGCUCUGAGUUGAGUGCCAACUGCUAAGGAAAUGCCAACUAUGUUUGGAUCACGUGUUUGUAGUUAUCCAGGACAAGGAAAGAACAGAAAAUCUCACACAUCAAUCAAUUAUAGCAGCCUCACAUAUCAUACCAAAAUUUGGCCUGAGUAUUUAUUUAUCUUCCUUUCUUUCCCAUGUUGUGUGUCAUUUACUUUCCUUUGGAAGUAAUGGGGUCAUUUCCUUUUCUGCUGCCUUGUCGUUGAACUACACGAGGACACAGGUCUUUUCUUUGAAAGAUGAAAUGAAAGUGACAUGCUUACCGUUCCAAUCAGGACAAUUAAGGAAGUCAAGGAGCACGGGGCUCUUGCACUGGGGGCACCGAGGGUCGUCCUGGGGGAGCAUGACGUAGAUGAAGCAGCGAGGGCAGGCGGCGAGCACCAUGGACGUCGCUUCGGGGCUGUUGGACCACUGCAGGCCAUGCUCGUUCUCCGACGACAGGCACGAGCUCGGGGACGACUCCUCGUCAGCCAUCACCCUGUUGGAGGAGUCCCCUCUUGCGGGCAGCGAGAGGUUCAGCUUCAGGUCAAGGCCCUUUGAUGAGCUCUUCCUGUUGCUGCGGCUCAUCCUCAGAGAUGGAAGCAGUAAUGGAUGGUUUUGGGAUCCAGAGCCAGUGCUAUCGGCCUCGGGAUCAAAGAUCAAUUCAGCUUAUCGAAGCGUAUAAUAUUUCGCCAUCAUUCGCCAUGAUUCAUCACCGAUGUGUUUAAGAUUGGAGCUAAAGAGGCUAAGAGUUGAAGGCAACUCUGGCUCAACUACGGAGACAGGGGAGGUGGAGGCAGGGGAGGUUUGACCUCAAGCCGAGCUCAUAACUGUGGCACUAGGUUACUUAGUACAGGAUAUGGUUUAAAAUGUUUCUUGCACGUACAAAACUGUGAUUAGUCGGCAUUGGAGCCAAACGCAUGUGCUCUUCUUUAAUUUCAUGGAGGGAUCUAAGGAGCUUAAUUAGUACCGGAAAGUAAAAGAAAGCUCCUGAUUGAAUGAUGUCACAUGUUCGUCGUUAUUGUGGUUUUGUAUGUGGCACUUUUUGUGUGUGUGUGGAUUCAUAUAAUUUUGUACUAUGGUAUUAGUAUAAUGUCAAAAAUAUUUUUAUAUUA